GCUAAUCUCCAAACCAUGUCUCAGUUCGGAUCGGAGUCUGCAACUCGACUCCGUGAAGCUGGAUUCGCUAGUAAUCGCGAAUCAGAAUGUCGCGGUGAAUACGUUCCCGGGUCUUGUACACACCGCCCGUCACACCAUGGGAGUCGGAUAUGCCCGAAGUCAGUGACCCAACCAUAUGGAGGGAGCUGCCGAAGGUGGAGCCGAUAACUGGGGUGAAGUCGUAACAAGGUAAC
rnacentral:rRNA from 1 species